CCUACGGGAGGCAGCAGUGAGGAAUAUUGGUCAAUGGACGAGAGUCUGAACCAGCCAAGUAGCGUGAAGGAUGACUGCCCUAUGGGUUGUAAACUUCUUUUAUAUGGGAAUAAAACGUUCCACGUGUGGGAUUUUGUAUGUACCAUAUGAAUAAGGAUCGGCUAACUCCGUGCCAGCAGCCGCGGUAAUACGGCGGAUCCGAGCGUUAUCCGGAUUUAUUGGGUUUAAAGGGAGCGUAGGUGGAUUGUUAAGUCAGUUGUGAAAGUUUGCGGCUCAACCGCAAAAUUGCAGUUGAAACUGGCAGUCUUGAGUACAGUAGAGGUGGGCGGAAUUCGUGGUGUAGCGGUGAAAUGCUUAGAUAUCACGAAGAACUCCGAUUGCGAAGGCAGUUCACUGGACUGCAACUGACACUGAGGCUCGAAAGUGUGGGUAUCAAACAGGAUUAGAUACCCUUGUAGUC
rnacentral:rRNA from 1 species